rnacentral:tRNA from 1 species
GUCGAUUCGGCGUCUUAAAGUACAUAUCAAUUAUUCGUGUUGAAGUAGGUUUGUUAUAAUCAAUCGGCA